rnacentral:rRNA from 1 species
CUACGGGCCGCUCCAGUGAGGAAUAUUGCACAAUGGGGGGAACCCUGAUGCAGCAACGCCGCGUGGAGGAUGACGCAUUUCGGUGUGUAAACUCCUUUUAUAUGUCAAGAAAAUGACGGUAGCAUAUGAAUAGGCGCCGGCUAACUCCGUGCCAGCAGCCGCGGUAAUACGGAGGGCGCAAGCGUUACUCGGAAUCACUGGGCGUAAAGGACGCGUAGGCGGGUUGAAAAGUCAGGUGUGAAAGCCUACAGCUUAACUGUAGAACUGCACUUGAAACUCUCAACCUAGAGUAUGGGAGGGGCAGAUGGAAUUAGUGGUGUAGGGGUAAAAUCCGUAGAUAUCACUAGGAAUACCUAAAGCGAAGGCGAUCUGCUGGAACAUUACUGACGCUAAGGCGUGAAAGCGUGGGGAGCAAGCAGGAUUAGAUACCCGCGUAGUC